rnacentral:rRNA from 1 species
GACGUAGGGCGCGAGCGUUGUCCGGAUUUAUUGGGCGUAAAGAGCUCGUAGGCGGCUCAUUGCGUCAACCGUGAAAACCUGCCGCUCAACGGUAGGCUUGCGGUUGAUACGGGUGGGCUGGAGUUCGGUAGGGGAGACUGGAAUUCCUGGUGUAGCGGUGAAAUGCGCAGAUAUCAGGAGGAACACCGGUGGCGAAGGCGGGUCUCUGGGCCGAUACUGACGCUGAGGAACGAAAGUGUGGGGAUCAAACAGG